GCGCAGGCGCAGAUUGUGGGCGGCCAAGUCAGUUGACCCAAAGGGUCUCGGAGCCCAGUUAAGCUGGUCGCCUCAGCUUCAGAACUGCAGCCGCCAUGGCCAGUCAGUCGCAGGGGAUCCAGCAGCUACUGCAGGCCGAGAAGCGGGCCGCAGAGAAGGUGUCUGAGGCCCGCAAGCGAAAGAACCGGAGGCUGAAGCAGGCCAAAGAAGAGGCUCAGGCUGAAAUUGAACACUACCGCCUGCGGAGAGAGAAGGAGUUCAAGGCCAAGGAAGCUGCCGCACUGGGCUCUCAUGGCAGUUGCAGCACUGAAGUGGAGAAGGAGACCCAGGAGAAGAUGACCAUCCUCCAGACCUACUUCCGUCAGAACAGAGAUGAAGUCUUGGAAAACCUCUUGGCCUUUGUCUGCGACAUCCGGCCAGAAAUCCAUGAAAACUACCGCAUAAAUGGAUAGGAGAAGAAGAUAGAAGUGCCUGUUCCAUGAAUUGGCAUUUUAGAUGUCCACAUGGAAUAAGCAGCUUUGGCAAAACUCAAGUUAUAUUCUUAUGAUAUGCAUUAAAUUAUUUCUGUAUAUUAUAUAGUAGAUCCCUUCAUUUUUUGGAGAGUAGCAAAUCUAGCUUCUUUGUACAGACUUAGAGCUCAUCUAAAGAUUUCAUCUUUUUACCUCAUAUUUCUUAGAAAUUUAAUAGGUAUACAUUAUCUGUUUUCCUAUCCCUUUUAGCUCAAUUACCAUAUAUAUCAAUGUUGACUUUUUCUUUCUUAGAUCUAGU